GGGGAAUAUUGGACAAUGGGCGCAAGCCUGAUCCAGCCAUGCCGCGUGAGUGAUGAAGGCCCUAGGGUUGUAAAGCUCUUUCACCGGUGAAGAUAAUGACGGUAACCGGAGAAGAAGCCCCGGCUAACUUCGUGCCAGCAGCCGCGGUAAUACGAAGGGGGCUAGCGUUGUUCGGAAUUACUGGGCGUAAAGCGCACGUAGGCGGGUAUUUAAGUCAGGGGUGAAAUCCCGGAGCUCAACUCCGGAACUGCCUUUGAUACUGGGUACCUAGAGUAUGGAAGAGGUGAGUGGAAUUCCGAGUGUAGAGGUGAAAUUCGUAGAUAUUCGGAGGAACACCAGUGGCGAAGGCGGCUCACUGGUCCAUUACUGACGCUGAGGUGCGAAAGCGUGGGGAGCAAAC
rnacentral:rRNA from 1 species